rnacentral:rRNA from 1 species
UACAUGGGGUGCAAACGUUGCUCGGAAUUAUUGGGCGUAAAGCGCGCGUAGGCGGUUACUUAUGUCGGAUGUGAAAGCCCUCGGCUUAACUGAGGAAGUGCAUUCGAAACUGGGUAGCUAGAGUACUAAAGAGGGUCGCGGAAUUCCCGGUGUAGAGGUGAAAAUUCGUAGAUAUCGGGAGGAACACCGGUGGCGAAGGCGGCGACCUGGGUAGAUACUGACGCUGAGGUGCGAAAGCGUGGGGAGCAAACAGG